GUUAAGCGACUAAGCGUACACGGUGGAUGCCCUGGCAGUCAGAGGCGAUGAAGGACGUGCUAAUCUGCGAUAAGCGUCGGUAAGGUGAUAUGAACCGUUAUAACCGGCGAUUUCCGAAUGGGGAAACCCAGUGUGUUUCGACACACUAUCAUUAACUGAAUCCAUAGGUUAAUGAGGCGAACCGGGGGAACUGAAACAUCUAAGUACCCCGAGGAAAAGAAAUCAACCGAGAUUCCCCCAGUAGCGGCGAGCGAACGGGGAGCAGCCCAGAGCCUGAAUCAGUGUGUGUGUUAGUGGAAGCGUCUGGAAAGGCGCGCGAUACAGGGUGACAGCCCCGUACACAAAAAUGCACAUGCUGUGAGCUCGAUGAGUAGGGCGGGACACGUGGUAUCCUGUCUGAAUAUGGGGGGACCAUCCUCCAAGGCUAAAUACUCCUGACUGACCGAUAGUGAACCAGUACCGUGAGGGAAAGGCGAAAAGAACCCCGGCGAGGGGAGUGAAAAAGAACCUGAAACCGUGUACGUACAAGCAGUGGGAGCACAGAGCAAUCUGUGUGACUGCGUACCUUUUGUAUAAUGGGUCAGCGACUUAUAUUCUGUAGCAAGGUUAACCGAAUAGGGGAGCCGAAGGGAAACCGAGUCUUAACUGGGCGUUAAGUUGCAGGGUAUAGACCCGAAACCCGGUGAUCUAGCCAUGGGCAGGUUGAAGGUUGGGUAACACUAACUGGAGGACCGAACCGACUAAUGUUGAAAAAUUAGCGGAUGACUUGUGGCUGGGGGUGAAAGGCCAAUCAAACCGGGAGAUAGCUGGUUCUCCCCGAAAGCUAUUUAGGUAGCGCCUCGUGAAUUCAUCUCCGGGGGUAGAGCACUGUUUCGGCAAGGGGGUCAUCCCGACUUACCAACCCGAUGCAAACUGCGAAUACCGGAGAAUGUUAUCACGGGAGACACACGGCGGGUGCUAACGUCCGUCGUGAAGAGGGAAACAACCCAGACCGCCAGCUAAGGUCCCAAAGUCAUGGUUAAGUGGGAAACGAUGUGGGAAGGCCCAGACAGCCAGGAUGUUGGCUUAGAAGCAGCCAUCAUUUAAAGAAAGCGUAAUAGCUCACUGGUCGAGUCGGCCUGCGCGGAAGAUGUAACGGGGCUAAACCAUGCACCGAAGCUGCGGCAGCGACGCUUAUGCGUUGUUGGGUAGGGGAGCGUUCUGUAAGCCUGCGAAGGUGUGCUGUGAGGCAUGCUGGAGGUAUCAGAAGUGCGAAUGCUGACAUAAGUAACGAUAAAGCGGGUGAAAAGCCCGCUCGCCGGAAGACCAAGGGUUCCUGUCCAACGUUAAUCGGGGCAGGGUGAGUCGACCCCUA
rnacentral:rRNA from 1 species